UAGGUUUUUGGUGGUGGAUAAAUUUUAGGAUUUAUUUUUUAGAUUUUUAAGCUUCAAAAUGUAUUCUUUUAUUGUUUGUUAUUUUAUCGGGCAAGUCACCGGAGUUCUGUCGAAAUGUGACGAGUCCACCACCCAAAACCCCUUUUCCUUUUUUUAUUCUCCGACAGACCAACUUCCGGUCACCUUAUUCUCUUAUUCUUCCUCACUUCCUUUGAACCACCAGAUUUCCACCACACCCACAAAACCUCCCUCUCUCUCACGACUGGGGACCACCAGAAACCAGCCCAUUUCACCAUUCUCUCCGAAAUUCAACCACAUUUUCCAACCAAAAAAUACUAUUGUGACAGCCACACCAAAUCCAUUUCACCAACCACCAAAAAAUCCAACCCAAGGCACUUUGUAACAGCAGCUAAACGGACCAGUCCCUUCUCCUUUCCCCUUUUUUAUUUUUGUUUGGAUUUGUAGGUGUUUUCACCAGUAACUCCGGCGAAGCGAGCACAACUGGAGCAAAGCUCCAAGUUACCAGCGAACAACAACAUCAAUAACUGAACAAACCAGUGAGCUCCUUCUUUGGGCAAAAUAAGAUGAUUUGACUACGAAAGAAGGAACUCGAAGUGAAAGGGCACCGUCUUGUGCAAGGCAACGAUAGUUGGCCCUCUAUCAUCUUCUAUCUGGUAGACUUGGUAAAAGGGCCCCGACUUAUUUCCAGAAUUUGAGUUCGACCGCGGCUUCCCAUACAACUUUGUCCUAUUGUUGUUUGAGUUCUUCACUCAUUUUAGUGCUAAUUGUGAUUGUCGGUUGAUUUUGUUCUUAUAUGAGUGAAUUAAUUUGAAAAUAAGUAAAAUUGGCCAAUAAGAAAAUUUCUCCGUCAGUUUUGGAGGCCUCCUCAUCUUAAUAGAUGAAAAUUUAGCUUAUGUUUAUAUUAUUUGUUUUGUUGAAACUGGCCAAUGAAAAAACUCUCUGUCAAUUUUGGAGGCCUCGCCAAUAUUAAAAGACAAAAAUUUUUAGUUUAAGUUCAUAUAACUUGUUUGUUAAAAUUGUUAAAUGUCCAAUGAAAAACUAUCCGUCGGUAUUUAGAGGCUUCCCUAAUGUUAAAAGACGGAAAUUUAGUUUAUAUUUAUAUUUUUAUUUGUUAAAAUUGACCGAUGAUGAAAUUACCGUCGAUACCCAAGGCCUCCCAUGUUAAUAAGACAGAUCUUUAUUUUUAAGUUAUUAAUUGAUUUAUUUAUUUUUACUCAUAUUUAUUUAUUACUAACAGUUUUACUAAGUGUCUUUACAGGUUCACAGAGUUGCUUCCCAUUGAAGCUAUUCGAAGAACUCAAAUUAUAUUUUUAUUCAUUAUUAUGUAAAAUUGACGUUAGACAAACCUUAGGCCGUUUCUUAUGAUAUUAUUUUAUUUUGUUACUUGUGUAUAUUGCAUAUUUAUAUUACUUGUAUUUAUUAUUAUCUCCUCCUCAUUUGAAAAAAUGAAUUCAGCCGGGACCCACACUUGUGGAUUUCGAAGGGUGCCUAACUCCUUCCCUUCGAAAUAAUUUGAAUCCCUUA